rnacentral:rRNA from 1 species
AUGUACAAUUUUGCAUCUCACGAGUUUAUAUUCCACGAAAUUAUGACCAUGAUAUCUAUUCUGAUCUUUCCAUGUACUUCCAACUUGCAGUCAGCAGCUGUGGCCCCGGGUCCCACAAUUGCUCCAGAGAAUACGAUGGCUAAUGAGUUAAAGAAGUUGACAGAAGAACUAUAUGAUAUGACAAAUCAAAACCAGCAUGUCAGUUUGAUGUCCGGUGAUAACUCUAAUGUGCAGCAAGAAACUGACAUAGAGGAAACAUCAUCAAAUGUUGAAGAAUCACUGAUCAUUGGGAGGACUGAAGAAAGAGAUAACAUAGUGGCUACUUUAUCUGGGAGUAUCUCACUUGAGUUCACCGUCCUUCCAAUAUAUGGCUUUGGAGGUAUUGGUAAGACAACGUUGGCCCAACUAGUUUUCAAUGAUGCUCAGUUUGCAGGUUACUCUAAGGUUUGGGUCUAUGUGUCCCAAAAUCUUGUCCUGAAUAAAAUUGGCAACUCUAUAAUAUCACAGCUAUCAGAGGAGAGCCAUGUAGCUGAAAGGCAGAUGAUACAUAUUAAACUCAGAGAGCUACUUGCUGGUAAGAAGAUUCUUAUUGUCUUAGAUGAUGUGUGGGAGAAGAAUCCAGAUACACUAAAAUCUCUGAUGGCUAUGCUAAGGGUUGGUGCAGGCAGCAUGGUGACAGUUAUCGUAACCACAAGAGAUGAAGCCAUUGCAAGGGAAAUUUGUCAUACAGUUGAGCCAUACAAGCUAGAGACUUUAACAAAUAAAAUCUGCUAG